UCGGGAAUUUUGGGCAAUGGGCGAAAGCCUGGCCCAGCAACGCCGCGUGAAGGACGAAGUGCUUCGGCACGUAAACAUCUUUUAUGUGGGAUGAAAUUAUUGACAGUACCACAUGAAUAAGGGGCUCCUAACUCUGUGCCAGCAGGAGCGGUAAUACAGAGGCCCCAAGCGUUAUCCGGAAUCACUGGGCGUAAAGGGUGUCGAGGCGGUUGUAUUAGUCGUUCGUAAAAUCUACGAGCUUAACUUGUAGGCGGCGAACGAAACGGUACGACUUGAGGUUUGGAGAGGUGCGUGGAACUCACGGUGUAGGGGUGAAAUCCGUUGAUAUCGUGGGGGAACACCAAAGGCGAAGGCAGCGCACUGGCCAAAAUCUGACGCUCACACACGAAAGCUAGGGUAGCGAAGAGGAUUAGAUACCCAGGUAGUCCCUGAGCGGGCUGGCAAGGCGCAU
rnacentral:rRNA from 1 species